UAGUCCCUGGAGUGUGACAAGGGACAAGAAAAAGCUGACCUGGUUUCCUUCCUCCCUGACAGGCACUUCCUCUUGCUCUGUGCAAUACCUACCAGUGCUGCUAAAACCAGGGAUUCACCCAGACCUCAGCAGGCCAGGGGGCCUCUCCCUCAACACUCCGUAGCCAUGACAGCAGCACUCUGCUGCCUGCCCCUGCCCAGAGAUGGCAGAAGCCCUGUUGCCUUUCUUCCCUCAGAGCUAGGAGGCCUCAAGGGAGCCAGGGCUGAGUGGACACUAAGCUAACCACAAAGAGCCACUCUUGGUCCCAGAGCGAGUGCCCCUUCCCAAACUGGUCUAUGGCAGGGACUGCUUGUGGCAGCCUGACAGACUACCCUUCAAACAGGUAGGCAAGCAGUGCCAGUGCAGAUACCCUACCUGUUCAGAUUCAGGGCUGUAAGGCAGGGUUCCCCACCCUGCACACUUCCACACUGGGGUUAAAUGUGGUCUUUCACAUGGCCUACAAUGCCUACCCAGCCACACCACCUCUGCCUUCAUGUGCCCGCUCACCAGGCCUCUGGACUGGGCCAGGACACCUGAGCCCCUUCAUACAGCACAAACUCCAGUGCCCAGGCCUCCCCACAGCUGGCCAAACAUGUGCCCAGUUCCCCACCUGCUCAGUAGGACUCCUGGAUGUUUGAAUUUGUGUAAAUAUUUAUUUUUGUGUGUGAAUACUACAAAGUAAUCAGUAGAUCUUUUUGCAAAAUGUUACUCCAGGCAAUUUGUGAAAAUGUUGAAAAUUGGCAGAGACAAUCGCCACCCUAGAAUUUCUGUUAUCAAUUGCUUACCGCAUUCUGUCUGCUCCCAGAGGCAGUACCCAAGCUAGACACAAAUGGCUUGCAUUUUUGGAAGAAGAUAGAAGAGACUAGGCAGGGGCUCCUCCCUCUAUCCCCACAGGACACAUCUGUAAGGACGAGCAUAAUCUAUAUCUAAGUGGUAUUUUCUAACUGCAAGCAGUCUUGACCAGCCACUAGCAGCCUGCUCCUAGAGUACGGUGUGAGCAUAGGUUCCAUGUGUUUUGCUUUCAAGAGAAAUAAAACCAAUGCCAGUGCUGAUGGUUUCCAGAGGGGCUGCAGGACAGUAGUAGAUGCUGGCAUGCUGACCUGGGCUUCUUCCCAGAGAAGUGGUCUCCAAAGCCUCAGAGCAGCCAUACCAGGAGCAAGUCAGUGUGGACACAGGAUUCCAUUACCUAGUUAAGUCAGGGAACUUGUUCUGUUUUCCUUUUGUUUUAAAAGAUGCAGCGUCAAGCCUCCCUUCCUGACUGUGGCCCGCCUUUUCCCAGGAGGAGCUUCCCAAAGCCUUGUCCUGCAGCCACUGCAGUGUGAUGGAAGCCUCAGGCACACAGUAGUCAUUGGUGAUCUCAAGUCAUAGUGAACAUGCCAGUGCAGGAUGCACCCCCCCUCACCCCCGAGUCCUUACAGGCAGAUCCCUGCAGGCUAUCAAGAGAAGUGGUGGAUGAUCAUCUGUUAGACCAGGGAUAGUAUACAGGACCCAUCUGAAAGCAUUUUUUUUUCCUCUCACCACUCAACAAAUGGACAGUUUAUUCCCAAGGACGGUGUUGGGGAGAGGCAGGCAGGGCCAGGAGGGUCUUGGAGGACUUUGAACAGGUGGAACCCAUCUGUCCCUCCCUAUUUCUCAAGGGCCACAAAUGACUCCACAGGUGGUUAUAGGAUUAACUACCAGUUCAUUCUCAAAAUGCUGCUUUGAACUCAGAGGGUUGAUACUUUUAAUUUGUAAUUUUUUGUAAAACUUUUUACAAGAUAGUAAAGUAUUUCACC
rnacentral:lncRNA from 1 species